UCCGGCUUGGGCUCCGGCUCCGGCUCCGGCAGCGGCGGUGGCGGUUGCUGCUGCUACUGCUGCGGCUGUGGCUGCUGCUGCUGCGCCGCCCCCUCCGCCCCUUCGUUUCUCUCACCCUCUCGAGUCCAGCCGAAGCCAAAGGGUGACUCUACUGAGUGUCCAAAGAAUAGGAAGAGCUGGCGGUCACUCAAGGCGCCUGCAGCAGCUGCGGUGGGAGAGGUGUUCCGGGACCGAUGGCACGCCGCGGAUUCCCUUCUCCCAGUUGCCUUCCCCGGGCCCUAAGAGCGGACGGAGGAUGGUCCUGGGUGUUGAGUUACUCUCCACUAUCUUUCUUCCCCUCCCCUCCCAUGCCGGGGGGUCGGAGCCCGGCUGGGGAGGGGGGGCGGACCGGGCGCCUGCGAUUGGCCAGGUCCCCACCUGGAGCAGACACCGCCGCCCCCCAGCUGUUGUGAACAGCUGCUUCUCCUCCUGCGCUCUGCUGAGCUGCGCGGGCUUGGCUCAGGGAGCGAGCGCCAGGGCAGAGUUGGGGAUGAUUGAGGGGCGGGUUCGCGCUUUGUGCUGACUGCUCUCCCUCUUCUCGAGUCACAUUUUCAAGACCCGGCCUCAUCUCUGGAAUCCGGGGCGCGGAGGACAGAGCCUUGUUCAAAGCUGCUUUGGUUUCCAAACCUGAGAAAACGCAUAUGGAAGCUAGGGGCUGGCUGUGCAUUAGAGACUUUAGAGAAAGUCACCAGAGUACCCGUUCUGUGUGCGUCUGUGUUCUGAAGCGGUGGGGAGUAGCCCUCCUACUCUACGCAAGGCAAAGGAAGAGGCUGCGUCUGCCAACAGGAUUUGGGGGUGCAAGGGAAGUGCUGAAGGGAGCAGGAAGCAACUGACAGUGUAGAGGUAAAGUGGGGGAGGCAUAGCUAAAAGGCAGAAGGAGUUGCUUUAGAAUGCUGUGCACAUAGUAGGCAUUUAAUGAAUGCGGAUCCUUUAACGCUAACGACCCUAUUGAAUCAAAUAAGGUAGUAAUGGACAUCAGUUACCAAUUUCUAUUUUGAAAUACCAUAAAAUGAAUGUUUAGCAGAUCAGCUAUCCAGAUUUCCAUCCACGCAUCAAACUGACCGAAGGUUUUAAAGUUAAGUUCUCUCUUAAACGAAAACGUAAGCCAUUGUUCAUUAUUUGAGUCUGGCUGAUGGUUUUAAAUGCAACCUGCUAUCAUUUUAUUAUGCUAUAAUCGAAAAUGAUUUCAAACUUAACUAAUAAAGUACACUGGUAGGUUUCUAAAAGGCCUCUA
rnacentral:lncRNA from 1 species